rnacentral:rRNA from 1 species
AGUGAACGCUGGCGGUAGGCCUAACACAUGCAAGUCGAACGGCAGCACAGUAAGAGCUUGCUCUUACGGGUGGCGAGUGGCAGACGGGUGAGGAAUACAUCGGACUCUACUUUUUCGUGGGGGAUAACGCAGGGAAACUUACGCUAAUACCGCAUACGACCUAUGGGUGAAAUCAGGGGAUCUUCGGACCUUUCCCGAUUGUAUGAGACGAUGUCGGAUUAGCUAGUUGCCGGGGUAAAGGCCCAACAAGGCGACGAACCGUAGCUGGUCUGAGAGGAUGAUCAGCCACACUGGGAGGGAGACACGGUCCAAGCGCCUACGGGAGGCACCAGUGGGGAAUCUUGGACAAUGGGCGCAAGCCUGAGCCAGCCAUACCGCGUGUGUGAAGAAGGCCUUCGGGUUGUAAAACCCUUUUGUUGGGAAAGAAAAGCAGCUGGUUAAUACACCACUGUUCUGACGGUACCCAAAGAAGAAGCACCGGCUAACUUCGUG